CGAAAACUGAAGAGGGAGUGAAAGGUCUACCUCCUAGCAAAUUACUGGAAGGAACAUGAGAAAAAGAUGGGGUCUUGCUCUUGGUCAGGCUGGUCUCGAAA